AGCGAACGCUGGCGGCAGGCCUAAAACAUGCAAGUCGAGCGCCGUAGCAAUACGGAGCGGCAGACGGGUGAGUAACACGUGGGAACGUGCCUUUUGGUUCGGAACAACACAGGGAAACUUGUGCUAAUACCGGAUAAGCCCUUACGGGGAAAGAUUUAUCGCCAAAAGAUCGGCCCGCGUCUGAUUAGCUAGUUGGUGGGUAACGCCCACCAAGGCGACGACGGGUAGCCGGCCUGAGAGGGCGACCGGCCACACUGGGACUGAGACACGGCCCAGACUCCUACGGGAGGCAGCAGUGGGGAAUCUUGCGCAAUGGGCGAAAGCCUGACGCAGCGACGCCGCGUGAGGGAUGACGGCCU
rnacentral:rRNA from 1 species